GUCUGAGAUUUAGGGAACAUUCCAGAAUUCUCUUGUCAGUUCCCCAACAUCAGGCUUACCUAGAGUCAGUCAUUUAACUCACACAAUCGUCCAGUGUUGAGUGUGUUGUGUUUGAACACGAGCUAGUCGGCUGCUGAAGUUUGUCAUCACACGGAGCAUCAGACGACCAGCUCACGCGGACUAGUUUGUUCUGGUCACCCAAUCUUUAAAGCAUCAAGUACUCAAAGAUCAUGUAUCAGAGCAGCUAUUUAUUCAUUUUAACCGCGACUAUUGCCGCUGUCAGCCUUGUGACGUCAGACUGUCCUGGGGUCACAGAGUGCACUGUUCCAUCACCGACCUUGACACAGUCUGAAUACUGCCCGUAAGCCAAAGUUUACCUGGCGUGUCUGCAAGCCGUGGCAUCUAACGCCGACUGCAACUUCGUGUCCAAGACGGCGGCCAACACCUUGAUCACUGGCACUGAGGUCACCAUGAAGGCUAAGGACUGCUCAGGUGCUGUUGCUGUGCUGCCCUCACUCGUGCUCUGUGUCUGGCUCAGUCUGGUGAUCACGUGGUUCAACGGCAAGACAAGUGUUUAAACACACAGUUGGUCUAAUGUGUUUAAACACAGUUUGUCUGCAAGUGUUUAAACACAGUUGGUCUGCAAGUGUUUAAACACACAGUUGUUAUACAUGUGUUUAAACACACAGUUGACCUACAUGCGUUUAAAUCGAUUAAAUGUUUUCACUUCAAUAUUUUCUAGUUCAUAAAUUUCCACCAUUGUAACGUUACCUCACAUCACAAAUGUACAGUUACAGAAUUCGUUUCAUUUACAUUUUAUUCAAGAAAAAAAUUUCAUAAAU